rnacentral:lncRNA from 1 species
ACCUCUCUAAUCAGAUCCCACGCUUUCAGAUAGAACGUCCAAAACUUCUCAAAUCUGAAUGGAGCCUUAGGCAAGCACGGGCCAUCAGUGGUGAUGAGAAAAGGGCAGUGGUCCGAAGCAAUCCUCGAAAGAUGCUGCACCUGGUGGUCAGGGAAAUAUUGGAACCAAUCGACGAUGGCAAGCACCCAAUCAAUCCUCUUCCAAACCUUGGCUGCCCU